rnacentral:lncRNA from 1 species
CUCUCUCUGGAACUCCAAUUGUGCCAGGGGAUGAAGACAAUCUGCGGAAGACCCAGCGAUGGGUGUGGAGCCAGGAGGCUGGUGGGCAGGGCCGGGUCCUUCCCGCUCUGGGAACCAAGACCCCAGGCCGGAGGAGGGAAGAGUCUGUGGAAGGGGUGAGGCAGGCUGAAGGCCAGGAAAGAGGGAGGCACAGCUGGAUGCUGCCACCGAGGAGGCCUCAUCUUCCUUCCAGACUCUGGGCAGAGAGCAGGAAGUAAGGAUGUCCCAGGAGUGGCUUCCCGGAAGUGUGCUCGGGGCAGCUGCCAUCGGAGGCCAGGCCCAGGCCCUCCCUGAGCAGUCUGAGUCCCGCAGAGGUGACUUCCUGCAAAUGUCCGUCCAUGGACCAUUCACCAGUUGCUGGAUGCUGGAGAUGCAGAUGAGGACCCAGGGUUGCUGGCUUCAUGGCCCUCAGAUGCUAGAGGGAAACACAGACAAUAAACAGAUUUUUAAGUAUGCAGCAAAACUUUCUUGGAAAAGGAAGAAACAUUUGUUCCAGUGACCCAGCACUGUCCACCUCUGCUAUGGACUGAUCUGCCCCGGG